rnacentral:rRNA from 1 species
GGCCAGAUGUGUACACCGUGUGAACGGUUCAGCUAACUGGUACUAAUAGGUCGAGGGCUUGAU